UGGACGGAACAGUUCCUCGUGUGACGACAGCCACGCCACCAGAUGCGCGAGUGGCGUCUGUUCGAUCUCUUCGAAAUACAUUGUGUCUACGAAUUGGAUUUGGUGUGUGUGUGUUUAAGUAUGUUUCUUGGAGGCAGAAACAUGCUGCAUUGUACUUGUCGAAGAGAUCGUUAAUGUCGUCUAAGUUAGAAAGUAAACCACGGCAGUUCCACUGGAGGAAGUGGUUCAUAACGGUCACACUAAAAAGGAGGAAAAGAAAGCGCAGCACUUGGUGACAACGACUAGAAAGGACUUGUACCAUUUAGGGGGGUUGGACCCUUCGCGGGGGUUGUUUCUGUUGCUCAUUCCCUUUGAAACCCCUUCCUCGUCCUUUUUCUCGUUUUUCCUUCCGUUGUGAAGGAAUGCUGGGGAGGCUCGACGAUGACUUCUGCGACAUGCAGUCAUCAUCAUCGACCUCCAUACUUUGGGUGCCUCUUUGGGAAGGGGUUUUUACGACCCCGUCCCAAACUGAUUGUGUGCCAUCGACCUUAGAGGAGGCCAUGGCUGUUUCUUUGUGGCCAGUUGAACGGCUGGCCUCCGUAACUGCAGGAGUCACCUGAGUGUCUCCAGCCUCCUGUUGGGGAGUGUAGGGUGGGAACUCAGAGACCUGCGAGCAGGUUUGAGUUUCCACAGAUUUCCUUGGUGGUGCCACUCCCCUGCGCACCACUUCGGAGAAAGAUCCUUUCAUUUGAAAUUCGUAUUGUGUCUUUGCAGCUCUGUAAGGAAUGUUUUGUACGGUUUUGAUCUUUAUGAUUUCUUUUUCUUCUUUCCAACGUGGACACGAUCGAGAGUACACCGGGUGGUUGCCCUGGCAGUUGGCACAACGGUACUCAUUGCUGCAAGUCUCUGGCGAAUGGUCUUUGCCAGAGCACUUUGGGCAGGUGGAGUGUCCGCGGCAGACAAGCGAACUGUGCCCAAAAUGCUGGCACUUGAAACAACGUCUUGGGUUUGGAAUGUAUGGUCUGACAUUGCAACUGAGAGACCACGCCCUGCUCACUCAGUCCAUCUUCAAUCUCAGAUUCUGUGCAUUCGAUGAGUUCAUCUUCUGAUAUUACACCUUUGGUUAUGUUCAGUGUGCGGUGUACGUUAACAUUUACAGUGCAGCAGGCGUGUCGCCCACCAUGGAGCCCAACUUGGGGAACGUGCCCCGCACGCUAACACCUACCUCUGCACUAUACCCUAGUGCAGCUUCUGGAGAGUGAAAAGACUGCCCAAGGUUGACCCUUGCCGCCAAAGAAGGUGAAGGGAGGAAAAGGAAGACAGUGAAGGAGUGGAGAAAGAAAAAGUAAUGAAAAGGGAGAUGGCGACUAGCUGAAUAAUCCUGGCCGGGCCUUCCAGGACUACCCGACUAUGGGAAGCAGGGGCCAAAGCGGUGUGUUGCU